ACCGGAGGCUCUCGGUGAGUACCAGGGCAUGUCUACGCGAUUGUUUGUUGCUCUGAAAUUUCUGAUUACUUCGAUUAGAUUUCUGCUGGUGAGCUGUGUCUGCUUGAGAUUAGUCUCCUGAUGCAGUUACUUGGUUGUGCUUGUGACUGUUUUGUUGGAUUAUCUCGUACAGGAUGUUGGAGAUCUGCUUAUUCUGGGAUUGAUCUAAAGACAUGUUUACAUUUGCUUGGUUCUGGUUUUGGAACUGUGCAAGAUGCGCUGGAAGAAAUGGAUUAGUUUGGUUACUCUUAUCUUGCUAUGGAUACAUGAGCAAAUGCUGGUAGAUUGUAGUUUAUGAUAAGAACUGUGUUAACUUGCAUGGUCUGUUUGGGAGGCAGUCUGGCAUCACCGCUGGUUACUCCUACCAUGCAGCAAACAAGAACAAGGCUGUGGGCUGGGAGGAGAGCACUCCUAUUGACUACUUGCUUAACCCUAAUUAAGAGGUUAUGUUUAGUGAUCACUUAGUUCAUUAAGAAGUUACAUUUGCUGUGAUGUUUUACUAUGGAAUGCUUGCGAUAGGAACUUCUGUUAUCCACUCUGUGAUCUCAUAUGUUGGGAUGUACUCCUGUGUGAGGGUGACAUUAGGAAGUAUUCUCUAACUGUGAUCUGUAUUCUUGUUUGAUGAUGACAAUUAUUCUUGAGCUGUGAUUUAUACUUGCUUUAAAAACUGCAUAGAAAGCUCAGGGAACCGUGUGAGUUAGUACAUUGUGGUGUUAAUAUUUGUUUGACUGCCCAGUUGAGCCUCUGGUACCUUAGAGAAUUCUAUUACGUAUGAUAGUCUGUGUUACUACUGUAUGCAUGUUUUGUUUGAUAUGAGACAAUAUUAUGUCCUUUGCUAAGUAAUUGGAAGAAGUUAAGAGUAGCUAUCAACAUAUUACAUAUGUUAUUGGUGUCUAUUUAAACUGUGUUAAUAUUUUGGUUACUAUCAUACUCCACUAUCCGAACAACACCUCACAGUUGGUAUUUGUUAGUUAUGUCCAGGCAUUCCAAUACAAAUCUGAAGCUAGUCCUGACAAAUUAUCUGAUAUCCUUCAAUCCAUGUCGGAUUGUUGGUUAUAUAUUUUCCUCGGUGAUAAUUUGUAUGCUGUACUAGUGUUCUCUAUGUAGACGGCAGUUUCUGACCUAUUGAGAGCUUUAAAGUUUGUUUACGUUUUGUAUGUAGUCCUUUACUCAUUCUGGCUGCUGCUCUCUUAAAGUGGUUUUGCCUUCUGUAAUUAGCAUAGAUCUUCUAGCAUGUCCUUCACGUUGCCCUUCUAUUAAAUGAUAUCUUCUUGAACACAAACCUUGUUAGUUCCCAUACAGUACAUUCCUGGAACCAUGAUAGUCUCCCCUGGCCUGAAGAAGCUACAGGACCGUGCUGAUCUCAUUGCGUUCCUGAAGGAAGCCACCUCCUCUUAAAAGGACUUGCUGCUAUAAUCCUGUCGUGAUGAGAGAAUUCAUUUUACAGUUAAUAAAAUGAUUAGACGUUAAUAGCCACUCUUUUUUAACAGGGUGCAGUCCACGAGAUAUUUAAUUCUGUAUGCAUUGGGUAGCAGCUUGAGCUUAAAAGGUGCUCUACUCUUUGGCUCAUCUCUUAGAUUCGAUUCGAUUUUUAUCGAUUGAUUCUGCAGAUUGUGCAGUGAGAAGAUGUAGGCCAAACAAUACAAUUGCUUUCUUGAGAUGUAUACUACAACCACAUAAGCAGUUGGCCCUAAACACCUUAGUACUAGAAAGUAGAGAUACUUAAAAUUGGAAUAUGGAAGCUUUUCAAAGGUCACUUAGGCCAUGUCUCUGAGUAAAGCCUGCUUCUUCAUCUAUUAUGUUCCUUUUAUUCCUCUCUUGCUAUCAUCUGUGGUUUCUGUUACGAUGGAAGUUUGCAUUGUGUUCUAGCGUUAGAGGGGGAGGGACAAAAUAUGGAAGACUUCUACGACAUUAAAUCAUCUAAAAUAGAUGUUAAACAGGUAAAACAUGUUUGCAGUAUUCGAUGGUAAAUAGGUCCUACCAUUUAAACACUUCAUCAUUCUCCUUUAUUGUUUAGACUAUAAUUCUUUUGUCAAUAUAAAACAUGGUGGUUCAUGUGCCACCGAGUAUCUCAAGGAGCACUUACUUGAAAGCCUCCUGAAACAUCCAGCUUUCAUUUCUAAUACGAAAUUGGCAAUAAGUAUGAUGUUUACUCAUAGAGCGGUUACUUCGAAGUUAGUUUUCGCAUCUACUAGUAGCUAAGCAACCAUGUACCAACUAAUGCUAAUUCGCAGGUGAAUCCUAUAAGGAGACUGGCACAGAUUUCUUGGCUGCUGUAAUCACUGUUUGCAGAGAGGGUAGAUCAACUGCGUCAACAGCAAUUUUGGUUGGCAACCAUCUCUAUGUGGCAAAUGUUGUUGAUUCACAGGCUGUAAUAUCAAAGGCAGGCAAAGCUAGUGCACUCUCAGAUGACCAAACAGAAGCGACGAGCGGGAACGGAUUGACCUGCUCUCAUCCGCCUAUGAGACAGACGGGGGCAGGCAGUGGGCUUGCUCUCAUCCCGUCACCCUACCUCCUAAUCCUAUUCAUUUCCCACAUAAUUAUUGCUGAAAUGAGCGUAAACACGUGGAUACCCAUGGAUAUCCGGUGGAUUUGGAUUUGGAGUGACAUCCAUGCCCACGGAUACUUUCGUGGGUGGGGCAGAGCGAGGGUGAUGGAUUUGGACACAGAUCUGAUUCUGCAGGGAUUAGGAGUUUGCAACAUUACAUGCGUAAGCAAAGAUUACUUUAUAGUCUGGAAAAUGUGAUUAUCAAGCCAGAAGUGCCAGGCAUAAUCUCAAGAUGUGGAAGUCGGCCAGGCCCACUGAAUGUAUCAAUUCGUGCAUCAUUGUAUUCUCUAUUAGAGAAUACUGAGGAGAGCUCAGGGUGGUUGACUUCCUCAAGGUUUUCUUUCGAAGUAUGGGAGCCCUCAAGAGUGUUUAUAUAUUAAUGGCUAGCCCAUGCUUCAUACGGAGUACCAUUUUCAGUGGAGGAGGCGCAAUUCAAAGUUUAGCAAGAUUCUAAAUAGAUGGCCAGUACCUUGGAGUGAAGGUACUGAAGGAGGCAUACCAUGGAUCUUUGAGGAAGGAACUGAUGCCUGCGGAGUUCCUCGACCAAGCUUAAUGCUUGUGGAGUAGUGCAAGCUUUGGGGAUGUGAACUAUGAAGCAUGCCUGUUAUCUGCGUCAUGAGUUUAGUGUAUCACAUUAUAGACUGCGCAGACAAUUUGUGGCUCGAUGUCUCAUGGGAAUCAGACACACCUUUUUGGGAAGUGUGGACUGAUAGUUUGUUGUUGUCUAACUCGAGUUACCAGUUUUCCUCGGUAUGUUUCCAUAGAGACAACAUGUUUCAUUGCCUGAAUUUUGUGAUUCAUGUCGCACUGCCGGUGGGAGUCAAAAUCCAAAAGCACUAUGGACUGAUAGUUUUCUUGCCAUGUAGUUUGUGUUAGCAGUUUCUGUCAGUAUAAGCUCCUUGACAACACUUUU